CGGAUCGCAGGCUGCAACCCGCCUGCGUGAAGUUGGAAUUGCUAGUAAUCGCGGAUCAGCAUGCCGCGGUGAAUACGUUCCCGGGCCUUGUACACACCGCCCGUCACACCAUGGGAGCCGGUAAUACCCGAAGUCAGUAGCCUAACCGCAAGGGGGGCGCUGCCGAAGGUAGGAUUGGCGACUGGGGUGAAGUCGUAACAAGGUAGC
rnacentral:rRNA from 1 species